GAUGAACGCUGACGGCGUGCCUAAUACAUGCAAGUCGAGCGAAUGGAUUAAGAGCUUGCUCUUAUGAAGUUAGCGGCGGACGGGUGAGUAACACGUGGGUAACCUGCCCAUAAGACUGGGAUAACUCCGGGAAACCGAGGCUAAUACCGGAUAACAUUUUGAACCGCAUGGUUCGAAAUUGAAAUGCGGCUUCGGCUGUCACUUAUGGAUGGACCCGCGUCGCAUUAGCUAGUUGGUGAGGUAACGGCUCACCAAGGCAGCGAUGCGUAGCCGACCUGAGAGGGUGAUCGGCCACACUGGGACUGAGACACGGCCCAGACUCCUACGGGAGGCAGCAGUAGGGAAUCUUCCGCAAUGGACGAAAGUCUGACGGAGCAACGCCGCGUGAGUGAUGAAGGCUUUCGGGUCGUAAAACUCUGUUGUUAGGGAAGAACAAGUGCUAGUUGAAUAAGCUGGCACCUUGACGGUACCUAACCAGAAAGCCACGGCUAACUACGUGCCAGCCGCCGCAGUAA
rnacentral:rRNA from 1 species